rnacentral:lncRNA from 1 species
UAAAAUACAGACUUUUUUUUAAACCAUUUAUUGGCAAAAAUGCUUUUAUAUGUGUGUUUUCUUAGGAUUCUUGUAAUAAAGUUAAUCUGUGCCAGUCAAAUAAAUUUACAUAUAUAACUAGCAAUUAUCAACAGUUAUAGGACCUUUUAAAGGUAAUAAAAAUGAUAGCUACUAAUGUUUUCUUCAUUUAUUUAGAAUGAUAUAGGAGGCUGCAGCUUAAUUUUUUAAAAAGAAGAUAUUUAGCAUACUGCCUUCCUAUUUUUCCUAUAAAAUAGGUUAAUAAUUCAAAAUUGAAGUCUACAUAAAUAUUUGGAAGCAAGGAGCAUUAAGAAUGAAAAAAUAUUUAAUCCAAACCUGUAUAACCAUAAGUGAACAGCUGCAAAUCACCUGGUGGGUUCGUCUUAAAAGUAGCCAGGGUGUAAAUAAAUAUAUUGUGUGCCACUUGCCCAUUAAGCUGUCACAGAAAUACAGUUCUCCUGAUGCUUUGAUUUAGGGUGCUCUGUACUUGAUCCACAUCCUCAGAAUAGCUGUCAGUUCUCCAGGGCACAUUGCUUCCUGAGAUUGCUAAUCUGUAGAUUAAAAUAUUAUCAUGAUUUUUUUCUUCUCUCUCUAAUUAGAAAAAGAAUAUUUAAGAAUGGCAGACAUAACCCUUUACACAGUCUUUUCUGUCUACUGUGGUGGUGGUGGUAACACUUCAAAGUGGCCCAGGAAUGAAUUACUAGUAUCUUCAGGAAUCACUAGAUAUCUUUGACUCACCCAUCCCAAAUCAUGGGCUUAUUGUGAAUAUCAGAUAUGUUUUUCUAUAGUCCCAUUAGUUAGAACAAAUGGGUGCUCCUCUUACACACUGGAAUUGGGAGACCCGGGGACCAAAAUAGCAUUAAGAGGGAAGCAGGUUCAUAGUUCACACCUUGUGUUGAAGAUGACAUGAGCCUUCUUUCUCCUGGAUUCAAGGACUUUGACCAGACUUAGAUCUUCCAACUCACAUCUCAUCUCUAUGGACUGUGAAGCUGGUUAGCACAGGGGAAGCUAGAAAUACUAGAAAAGAGAUUUUGUUUCUCCUUGUGUAUUAGAAAACAAAGACCAUAACAGGGAUAAAAAUAUUUAGAGACAAAAACUUUGUCCUGUAAAAUUUCCCCUUGGAUCUGUUGACUGGAUUGUAUACAGAAGAAACAUUCCUUUUUCAGGGCCAGCUCCAUGCAUGCAUUUAUGUGAAAUUCCUCCUUGACAAAUGGUAGUUUUCUGAAAAUCAUCCCAAAUGCAUUUUUUAACAUUAUACAUUGGCUGUAACUUUGGUGUCCUUAAAUGUACUAAUUGAAAGGAUGAAUUUUAAUAAUCCUUCCUUGAAGUCUUAGAGAUAGGUAAAAAUCAAAGAGGCCUUUCUUGUAAAACAUAGUCCUUGUUAUCAGCAUUUGUUUUCAUCAAUCAUUUCCAGUUUUGUUCGUUUGUGACUAUUUCUAAUUGUGACAGGUAAGUCUGUGUAAGUGUAUGUAUAUUUUUUCUAAAGAUAGAUUUGUUAUUAUUCCUGGUUUAUGAGCACUAGUUUUCUCUUAGCUUACUGAUUUUUUUCCCCAUCAAAUUCCAAGUUUUAGCAUAAUUGCUCAAGAAAUAUAGUUUUUUAAAAAAUAAUGUAGUACAAUAUAGAUUGUCUCAACAUUUCUUAGUUUAAUUGAUAGAGUAAUGUUCAUUCAGUCACUAAGAAUUCCAUGGACAGUUUUUUUUUUAAUUUCUCCUUAGUUUAUAAGUCAGGAAUCAUUUUUCAUGAAUUAUGUGUUGAUUCUAAUCCUAGCCUGUUUUCUGAAGCGGACGAAGUGCAAAUCAUAUCCAAAGCAUAGAGUAUGUACAUGGUUAUAUAUUUUUUUAAUAUUUGUUUUGAAAUUUGAUUCUCUGUUGAAUUGUGGGGAGGAAAUACAUGUAAGUAGAAUAAAGUUUCUCUAAAACAGAAGUUAGCAAACUUCUGUAAAAGGCCAGAUGGUAAAUAGUUUUAGCUUUCAGCCUACAGGGUUGUCUGUAACAACUUCUCAACAAUGCUGUCUUAGCAUGAAAGCAGCCAUAAACAAUAUGUAAAUGAAUGUGCAUGGCUAUGUUCCGAUAAAACUUUUUUGCAAAAGCAGACAGUGGGGCUAGAUUUGGUCUGUGGGCUCCAGUUUCCUGACCCUUGACUUAUAGGAUAUGUUUUAGGGUCAGACAAAUCUGUGUUCACAUCUUGCCGCUAUCACUCACAAACUUCUAGAAGCCUGUUUCCUCAUCCAUUAAACAAGGAUAGUCAUAGUUCCCACCUCAUACGAUUUUUGUAAAGAUCAAAAGAGAUACUAUAUGUCAAGUGUUCAGUACUGUGUCCAGCACAUAGUAAGUGCACAAUACGGUAGCUGUUUAAACUAUUUUUAUGGCUCUCAUUAUUAUUAUUAUUAUUAUUGGUGUAUCUCUAAAGGCAACUGAGAUUCGUUCUCUAGACGGUCAGUGGUUAGUCUUAAGAGCAUGUCACAAGCCCAGGAGCCUAAAGAGACCUGCACCCCGAGACUGUAUUGCAGCUGUCCUCUACCUGCCCACCAAGCACUGGAUGGUCUCCGAAUAAAAACACAUUAUGCAUGCAAUUUGUGUGCUGCCAAAAGUGGCAUCCAUUUAUGUACACAGUUGAGGGCACUGAUGUGAGC